GCCGCGCGGCGCGGGCAAGCUGAGUCAGGGUGGCCAGGCCGCCGCUCCACGCGUGGCAGGGUGGAGGGGCGGCCUCGCGGAAAGCCGCACCCGGGGAGGGCCGCAGCCUGCGUCGCAGAGGGGCCGCCGCGAGCGGUAAGUCUUGCUGAACCCGGCCUGCCCGCCGCUGCUCUCCGUGAGGUGCAUCGCAGCCUCCUGGUACUUAGGAAACUGGACAGCACUUAAGCGCCGGCUUGAAGGCCACUUGAAACCACAAGAUCGCCACCAAAACACAAAAAUACGGAGCCGUAACACUAAAUAGACUGUGGAACAGAAGCUUACUUAACCAUAUCAGAACUGAAACACGAAAGAAGGCAGGUGUCGUCGUCUUGUCCCACCUCAGCUGGAAGUAUGUUCCUCUGGCAACUCAAGUAUUUUGCCACUCCGCACAAGUUGGCCAAUAACUGCAGAAGUACCGCAAAUACUGAUUUUGGAGUUACAAGUAAAUUUGGCAGAUAGGCAAGUUCACAAACGUGGAAUCCACAAAUAACAAGAAUCAGGUGUGUGUGUGUGUGUGUGUAUUUGUACAUGUACAUACCCAUUUUCCUUGGUCUUUUUCUGAGCCAUUUGAGAAUAUGCUAUAGACCCGGUUCCCCAUCACCUCCAAAUAUUUGCAUGUACAUUUCCUAAAAGCAGAUACUCUUACACAACCAUUCUGUAACCAUCCACACGAGAGAAUCAGUAUUAAAACAAUAUUAGGGCAGCCCAGGCGGCUCAGCGGUUUAGCACUACCUUCAGCCCAGGGCAUGAUCCUGGAGACCUGGGAUCGAGUCCCAUGUCGGGCUCCCUGCAUGGAGCCUGCGCUCCCUCUGCCUGUGUCUCUGCCUCUCUCUUUCUCUGUCUCUCAUGAAUAAAUAAAUAAAACCUUUUAAAAUAACAAGUAAACAAAUUUUAAAAAACAAUGUUAAAGUCCAGUCCAUAGACUCCAUUGCAUUUUGCCAACUAUGUCAACGUCUUUUUUUUUUUCCUUUCGGCUCCAGGGUCCCAUCCACAAUCACAUGUGCAUUCUCCUCCAUGCUAGGAUAGGUCCUCCAUCCUUUCUUUCCCUGACGGUUUUUAUUAAAGAUUACAGACUUCUCUAUGACAUGUCUCAGCAUACAUGGAUGUUUUCUGAAGAUCAGAUGCAGGUCAUGUUUCUUGGUAGGAAUACUACAGGAAUGGUACUUGCUGCCGUCCAUCCUACCACGGGUGAUACUCAUCUGGUUACCUAGUGACAUAGGUGUCUGCUAGGUUUCUCCUUUUUUUUUUUUCAUUUGUAAAUUGAUUAGUAUUUUGUAGAGAGAUAUUCCAGAAUUCAACUGUAAUUUUAUUCUUUUUCAACCUUUGUCUAACGAUUUUAAGCUUUAUCAGUGACUUCUGCCUAGAUCACUAUGCUCAUUGCCAAAUAGUGCUUUUUAUUUUUGCUAGAGUAAGCUCCACACCCAGUGUGGGGCUUGAACUCACAACCUGAGAUCAGGAGUCACCUGCUCUACUGACUGAGCUGACCAGACACUCCCUAGGUAGUGCUUCUUAAAAUGUCCAUUGUUCCUUUCAUAUUUAUUAGUUGGUAUUCUAUAAGAGAGAGAUUUACAUUUAUUUAUUUAUUUAUUUAUUUAUUUAUUUAUUUAUUUAUUUAUUUAUUUAUUUAUUUAUAUCAGUAUGGACUCAUGGAUUUCUUUUACUCAGUGGUCAUAUUCUGUUCCUGUCAUUGUUUAUUUUGAAGGCCAGAGAGCCAUGUCUAGCUGGCUCUUGAGUCCUUCUGACAUGUCCCUGUCAUCCUGUCAUUCUUUGUUCCCUUUCCCACCUUUUUAGCACAAGGUGCUCCAGCUUCAUUUUGUACUCUUCCUGCUGCAGACCUGGAAUCAGCCAUUUCUCCAGGGAGCAUUGUUUCUUUUUAAUGGAGGAUGGUGUUUAGAAAUCAAGAUUUGAGUAUGUGGUAUACUUAAUGCUACUAGGGUGUCAUUGCUUCUAGGCCUUCUCGUGGACAUGUGUCAGGAAGUGUAUGUAUAUUCAUGUGAGUAUGCACAUCUAUAAUUGUCUUUAUUUGUGUAUGUAUUUUUUAGGAAAACAUUCAUAUCCUUACCUUCAAUUUCAAUCUAACACAGGAUUUUUAAAAUCUUUUUUGUAUUUACAAAUAACUUCUUCGGCAAUAAAAACCUGGGUUUCAUUAU